GGCGGACGGGUGAGUAACACGUUAAGAAUUUGCCUUUAGGAGGGGGACAACAACUGGAAACGGUUGCUAAUACCCCAUAUGCUUUCGAGUGAAACGGUUUUUCCGCCUAAAGAGAAGCUUGCGGCUGAUUAGCUUGUUGGUGAGGUAAUGGCUCACCAAGGCGACGAUCAGUAUCUGGUUUGAGAGGACGAUCAGACACACUGGAACUGAGACACGGUCCAGACUCCUACGGGAGGCAGCAGUGGGGAAUUUUCCGCAAUGGGCGAAAGCCUGACGGAGCAAUACCGCGUGAGGGAUGAC
rnacentral:rRNA from 1 species